AUUGAACGCUGGCGGCAGGCUUAACACAUGCAAGUCGAACGGUAACAGCAUGCAGCUUGCUGCUUCGCUGACGAGCGGCGGACGGGUGAGUAAUGUCUGGGUAACUGACCGAUGGAGGGGGUUAACUACUGGAAACGGUAGCUAAUACCGCAUAACGUCGUAAGCCAAAAGAGGGGGACAUUAGGGCUACUUGUCAUCGGAUGUGCCCAGAUGGGGUUUGUUAGUAGGUGGGGUGACGGCUCACCGAGGCGACGAUCCCCAAAUGGUCUGAGAGGAUGGCCAGCCACACUAGAUCUGAGACACGGUACAGACCCCUACGGUAGGCAACGGUGGAGAAUGUUGCACAAGGGGCGCAAGCCUGAUGCAGCCAAGCCACGUGUAUGAAGAAGACCUUCGGGUUGGAGAUGUCUUUCGGCGGGGAGGAAGGAAAUAGUGUGAAUACCGUGACUCAUUGACGUUACCCGAAGAAGAAGCACCGGCUAACUCCGUG
rnacentral:rRNA from 1 species